CCUGCCGCAAACACAGGCAGCACCGGCAGCGGUGAUACAGGUGAUGGGACGCUUGCCUCACCUUCAACUCCUGCCUCAACCUCAGAGGAAAGUUCUACACCAAGAACUGAUGAUACAAGCUUUAACAGCAGUACACCAUCUACAUCCACUGGCUCAAGAUCUGCUAAUAAGA